CAACUCUUAACAGUGGAUCUCUUGGUUUGUGCAUUGUGUAUGGACCGGUAGUUU
rnacentral:rRNA from 1 species